rnacentral:rRNA from 1 species
GACGAACGCUGGCGGCGCGCCUAACACAUGCAAGUCGAACGGAGCUGCGAGAAGCUUGCUUUUCUUGGCUUAGUGGCGAACGGGUGAGUAACGCGUGAGUAACCUGCCCUGGAGUGGGGGACAACAGUUGGAAACGACUGCUAAUACCGCAUAAGCCCACGAUCCGGCAUCGGAUUGAGGGAAAAGGAUUUAUUCGCUUCAGGAUGGACUCGCGUCCAAUUAGCUAGUUGGUGAGGUAACGGCCCACCAAGGCGACGAUUGGUAGCCGGACUGAGAGGUUGAACGGCCACAUUGGGACUGAGACACGGCCCAGACUCCUACGGGAGGCAGCAGUGGGGGAUAUUGCACAAUGGGGGAAACCCUGAUGCAGCGACGCCGCGUGGAGGAAGAAGGUUUUCGGAUUGUAAACUCCUGUCGUUAGGGACGAUAAUGACGGUACCUAACAAGAAAGCACCGGCUAACUACGUG